GAACUCCUGAGGAGUCCCAUACUAGGACGAAACGGCCGUCCAGUGC
rfam:Schistosoma haematobium scaffold317_28, whole genome shotgun sequence.